rnacentral:rRNA from 1 species
UGUACACACCGCCCGUCACACCAUGGGAGUUUGUUGCACCAGAAGCAGGUAGCUUAACCUUCGGGAGGGCGCUUGCCACGGUGUGGCCGAUGACUGGGGUGAAGUCGUAACAAGGUAGCCGUAUCGGAAGGUGCGGCUGGAUCACCUCCUUUUGAGC